GGAUGACUUACUUUCCUGUCUGGCUUUGUUACACACAGGGGGAUUACUCCAUGCACUUUUCAAAUCUAACCACACGGUGGCAGUAGAAAACCACCAGCGCCAUCCAAUUCAGAGCCAUUCCUCUGGCAGGACCAUCCACAGACCAGAAUUGUUGAAAAAUGAAGAGGCUUCUUCUGUCCAGGACGGUGGCCCAGCAGCAGCUCCGUCCAGGCUGGUGAAGCAAACUCCUCUGUCCACUCUGGUCCUGUGUCCACAAGGAGCCAACUCCUUGAGGAAUUCAUGAGCAGCCCCACCAAUGUGCUUGCUGACAGGUACUCUGUGUCCUCCUGGCCUCCUGGGGCCCUGCUAUAGGAAGAGGCCCAUCUAAUGCCUAGGUAAGAUGGGAAAUUGCUGGUUUAUCUUAUUUUCAAAUGAACUCGUAUGGAAAUCUGACAUCACACAUGACAGAUGACAUGGAGGUUUCCUUGGUGGGGUGGACUGCCUCUCUCAUCAUGUGACACUGGGCCAAGGGGGCAUGCCAAUGGCAGCACCAGCCUGUCAGCUGUGUGGGAGGGACGUGUCCUGAGCCCCCAUCUUCCUCCUGGAUCAAGAGGCUUGUAAUUUUCCAUCAAGACACAUGAGAAAGAGUGACAUCCCUGACUUUCUUUAGGGGCACUGCACCUGCCUUGGGGCCUUUCACUGGACAGGAGAACACAGGCCUAGGCCCACCGUGCCCAGCCUCCCCUAAGUCUCAUUGUUUCCUGUAACUGCCUUGGUCUCAGGAUCAACUGUAAACAAGAAGGAUCUGGAACCAUCCUCACUGAGGGAAGCCCUAGGUGAGGAGAAAGGUGGGCUUUCCUGCUGGCUCUGGCCUGGGAGCCUCCCUCCUGCUUGCUGUAGCUGGGGAGGGCUUGAGAUGUGGGGACAAAACUCACCUUGUGGGUGAGGAACCUUGGGCCCCUUUGAACAGACCAUUAGUCCUCAGGCAUGUGGGUUUGCCUGCCAUUUCCACUGAUGGAUCUGUGUGGUGUCUCCUGAGCAGCACGUGCUCUAGGCUCAGAUUUCCUAUAACAGCAAAAUUGGUAGACUCUACUCCUGAAGUAAAACAAGCAAAUCCCACAUCCUGAUUUCCUGAUUACAAUGUGGGUGUAGUGGGUGUGUAAACUUCAAAUUAACUUCAUACUUCAGAUUACUUUCAUACUUCAAUACACACAGUUCACACUCAAAUCAUGAGUUCACUGUAUGCCACCACAUCAGGCUUUACUUCAGAGGGUACAGCAUAGGCCAGGAGAGCUGGAGGACCCUGCUGCCCACAGGACCUGGGUGAGGAACUGUGCUGCAGGCAGGUUCUCACCUCCAAGACCCACACACUCUGACACAACCAUCUUCCUGGGAAUACUUUAACCUCUGCUGUGGGCUCAGCACCCAUUAGGAUGUUUACCCCUGUGGCCUGGCCCCCCAUGUGGGGCAUGGACCAGGACUGAGUCUGCAGGAUCCCAUGUUCUUGCUCUUCCAUAUAAUGUGGCAUCCAGUGGUGGGGUCCCCUGGGGCUUCACACCUGUCCCUUCCCUUUUUCCCUGAAUGUGGUUUUAGCAGGAGGGAUCAGAAUGCCCUGACCUGGUCUUGAACACCUGGAGAGCUGGGCAGGGCUCCUUCCUUCUGCAGCUAAACCCAGGGCAGCACCUGCCCCCAGCCCUGGUGGGAACCUGAGAGAGGAGGAGCCUGAGGAGGCCUGGGGAGGCUCACUCCAGGCCUCCCCACCUGAGCUGUGACUCUUCACUUCAUGUCACCCCAAAUAUAAAUGUCACCACAUGUGGACAAUCUUUCUCCCAUGUCUGGCACCCACCGUGGUGUCUGUGUGGUGCCAGAAACACUGUGGCCAGCAGAGGAGAGAGGCCUCCUUCAGGGGCUGAGGGUCAGGGUGGGACAUGGCCUCCUGCCUGGGAGGAGGAAAGGAAAGGCAGGCUCUGUGUAGGAGGGAGGGUGACCUCAGCCUGUGACAGGACACUCCCCAGUAUCCCUUUCCAGCCUCCCUAAGGAAGAACAUCCUGGGCUCUUCUGAAGGACUGAACAAAGGACUGUGGGUGUUUCAGGUAAAUGUAAAUAUAAAUGGACUCAGGUUUGAUUUUCCCUUUGCAUUGCCAAUUCCUGGGGAAUACAUUAUAGUAAUUAGCACCCGAUGGUCUGCAGGGGUCAGCACAAGC